ensembl:lncRNA
GAAGAGGGUAGCAGAGGAUGAGAUGAUUAGAUAGCAUCACCGACUCAAUGCGCAAUACUGGAGUGGGUAGCCUUUCCCUUCUCCAGGGGAUCUUCCCAUCCCAGGGAUGGAAUCCAGGUCUCCCACAUUGCAGGCAGAUUCUUUACCACCUGAGCCACCAGAGAAGACAUUGAUUACCGGCAGAUAGAUCAUCCCUGACAUACCAGCCAGAGUUGAGGUCUCUAUUGAAAAGACCCUGAUGCUGCGAAAGAUUGAAGGCAGGAGGAGAAGGGGACGACAGAGGAUGAGAUGGUUGGAUGGCAUCACUGACUCAAUGGAUAUGAGUUUGAGUAAGUGCCGGGAGUUGGUGAUGGACAGGGAGGCCUGGCGUGCUGCAGUCCAUGGGGUCGCAAAGAGUCAGACAUGACUGAGCAACUGAACUGAACUGAUUGAGGUCUGGAAGAUCCCCUGGAAGAGGGCAUGGCAACCGACUCCAGUAUUCUUGCUUGGUGAAUCCCAUGGACAGAAGAACCUGCAGGCUAUAGUCCAUGGGGUCACAAAGAGUUAGACACGACUGAAGUGAUUUAGCACACAUGCACACAUGCUUUGAGGGCCCGCCACUAAUACAUGGGGCUUCCCAGGUGGUGCUAGUGGUAAAGACCCUGCCUGCUGAUGCAGGAGAAUG